CUUCGAUCAAAAUCUUAUGGAUUGAAUGUAUCCCGGAUUGCACUCACUUCCCCUAAUCAAUUUGGAUUCUAAAUGAGUAAAAUGUGGAUAUAUUUUACCUGUUUCUCGUCACUGUCCCAACAUUUCGUCGAACCGAUCAUACUUUUGAAGAACGACGGCGAGGGAAGGUUUUGGCGAAGCCCCAAGUUAUUGAUUCAAGGAACAGACAGAUCUAAAUAUUGAAGGUGAUCGUUCUAAUUUCGUUGAUAUAGUUUAAUUCAUCUUUAUAGUUUUGACUUAUCAAUUUUUGCCAUCGAUUUUUGGCAUUGAUUCAAGAGAUUAAUAAAUUUUUAUACAUUCAAAUGGAUUUUGAAGGAAUGGAUUUAUUUGUUUUGGAGAUAUUUUUCAUCUGUUCGCUUGUUUCAUCAGCCGCCGAACGUGUUUGUCGUGAGUAAUCUUGUUCCACAUACUCAAGGAAUUUUUUUAAGGUAAAAUGUUAUCUAUGGCUGUGAAAGAUAGUAUUGAUUCAGCAUUUGUGGGUGGUAAAAAGGUUCUCAAGUGAGCCAAAUGAUGAACAUGGAGGGCUGGAUGUUGGUGUGCAGCAAGAGGGAACAGAUAGUGAAUUCAACACGGAGGAAAAUGAAGCGCCGAAUAUGGCUGAUGCGGGUAUUGAUGAUGUGAUGGAUUCUGAUGUGAGAGCAACAAUCAGCUAAAAGAGGAAAAAGAAGGUAAUCAAGUCGGUGAGAGGUUGCAAAGCAGGCAUCCUUGCAUUGGAGCGAAGUUUGCGUGAACAAGAAUUUGAAUGUCAAUAUGUUGUUGAUUGGAUAAUAAAUGUUUUUUGUCUGGUUCGUUGUUGCGUGAACAACAAAUUGAAUAUCAACAUUCAAUGGUAUCGAUUCUUUAGAGCUUUUA